GCAGUCCGCCGCCUCCCUCCGAGCGCAGGACGCUCCGACGCCCGCUUGCCCGCAGGCCACCGCAGGAACCCCACCGGUGCAGAACCGUGCCACUGCACCCAUAAGACAGCCCGAGGCUCCUGGCAGACCCUACUGGGAAUUACACAGCAAGAUGGCUUUCCCUACUCCAUCGUGGCUAGAGCCUCUGCAAGGGCUGAAGCCCUUUGAUCUUGGCUUCAUUUGGAUACAUUUCAAGGGUGAGCACUGACAAAGAGGACAAGCCAGACUGAAGUCAUAUGGCCUUACAGCUCUGCCUUCAAAGGCAUGUGGGCUCCCCUCCACCACAUUGCUGACCCCUCAUUACAGGAAGUGGGAGUGUAAACUCUACCUCUUCCUUAUGUCCUGUCGGAGGUGGAGCACAGAGCUCUGACUCCAUGCAUAACACACACUCUACCACUGAGAUACAUCCCAAGGCAAUUGACAUUGGAUUGUUGGUGUCUCAUUGUGUGAUGUUGACUUAGGACAUUAUAGGAUCUAUGCAAGCAUCUUUCUGUAUCGUUUUUUUUUUCCUUGCCCAGUAAUGUUCACUGUGUAGAAUACACAAUGAUAAUGCUAAUGACCCAAACACCAAGGGACCUGAGUCUCUGAGCCACCACUUGGGAGAUACCCAUUCAAUUUUUAUUGACCACCAUGAUGUACUACUUAAAGGUUUAGUGUUUUGGUCCUCUAAUAUUUGGUGGCUACUGUCCAAGUAGGAACUUACCUGUAGCCUUAUACCUUAAGCUACAGGAUCCCUCUCCCUGUUUUGGAAGCACAUCUACAAUGAUGACCAACAGCUUGGGUUAAUUUAUUAUCUCUUAAAAACUAAGUACUAGCUCCAAGUAUUAGGGUUCAGUGUGAAAGAGAGAUAAAUUCAGGAGUCAUUGGGGUCACCAACUGCCACAAUCCUGAUGACAUGAAUAAAGGACUUGCCCAGGCCAACAGUGGAAACAUGUUUGUUAACAUGAAGGUAGGCUGUGGACAUUCAGCUCUGGUUUGGAGGGUCUCAGGGUAGUGACAACUUCUAUGUUGGAAAUGAUUAGCAGGUUUGUGUCGAUGGGGUCCUUGUUCCAACAUGAAGGAAGCUAUCUGAAAGGGAAGUUGGUUCUGUGCCCUUCCCAACAUAAAGUGAGGGAAAACCAUCUGUUGAGUGGUAUUUAGAACUGACAUUUUCACAAGGAUCCAGUCUAUAGAGAAUUUUCACAGGACUUGGGAAGUCACAUUUUUCCUUUCUUUUCUUCUGCACGUUCUGCAAUUAAACACUGUUUUUAGUGUUAAAGUCAUAUGAUAUAUACUGUGGCUUGCUUACAGGACUCAUUGCACUUAAUAAAGGUUUGCUUAUUUUGGUUUGGGAUCAUCUCAAUACAAUAACAGUUUUUGAAACAAUAGUUUAAUCAAGUGUUUUUGAUAAAUAACAUUUGUUUGUAGAGGCA
rnacentral:lncRNA from 1 species